UAGGGAAUCUUCGGCAAUGGACGAAAGUCUGCCCGAGCAACGCCGCGUGAGUGAAGAAGGUUUUCGGAUCGUAAAACUCUGUUGUUAGAGAAGAACAAGGACGUUAGUAACUGAACGUCCCCUGACGGUAUCUAACCAGAAAGCCACGGCUAACUACGUGCCAGCAGCCGCGGUAAUACGUAGGUGGCAAGCGUUGUCCGGAUUUAUUGGGCGUAAAGCGAGCGCAGGCGGUUUCUUAAGUCUGAUGUGAAAGCCCCCGGCUCAACCGGGGAGGGUCAUUGGAAACUGGGAGACUUGAGUGCAGAAAAGGAGAGUGGAAUUCCAUGUGUAGCGGUGAAAUGCGUAGAUAUAUGGAGGAACACCAGUGGCGAAGGCGGCUCUCUGGUCUGUAACUGACGCUGAGGCUCGAAAGCGUGGGGAGCAAACAGG
rnacentral:rRNA from 1 species